UACGGAGGAUGCGAGCGUUAUCCGGAUUUAUUGGGUUUAAAGGGUGCGUAGGCGGCCGAGUAAGUCAGCGGUGAAAUUUUGCAGCUUAACUGUAACAGUGCCGUUGAUACUGCAUGGCUAGGAUUUGGUUGCUGUGGGUGGAAUGUGUGGUGUAGUGGUGAAAUGCUUAGAUAUCACACAGAAUAUCAAUUGCGAAGGCAGCUCACAAAGCCAAGAUUGACGCUGAGGCACGAAAGUGUGGGGAUCAAA
rnacentral:rRNA from 1 species